CAGCCGUAAACUAUGCGCGUUAGGUGUACUGGUGACCACGAGUCACCGGGGUGCCGAAGGGAAACCGUGAAACGUGCCGCCUGGGAAGUACGGUCGCAAGGCUGAAACUUAAAGGAAUUGACGGGGGAGCACCACAACGGGUGGAGCCUGCGGUUUAAUUGGACUCAACGCCGGAAAUCUCACCGGAUAGGACAGACAUAUGAUAGUCGGGCUGAAGACUCUACUUGAUGAUCUGAGAGGAGGUGCAUGGCGUCAGUGACU
rnacentral:rRNA from 1 species